rnacentral:rRNA from 1 species
AUUGAACGCUGGCGGCAGGCCUAACACAUGCAAGUCGAACGGUAACAGGAAGAAGCUUGCUUCUUUGCUGACGAGUGGCGGACGGGUGAGUAAUGUCUGGGAAACUGCCUGGUGGAGGGGGAUAACUACUGGAAACGGUAGCUAAUACCGCAUAACGUCGCAAGACCAAAGAGGGGGACCUUCGGGCCUCUUGCCAUCGGAUGUGCCCAGAUGGGAUUAGCUAGUAGGUGGGGUAACAGCUCACCUAGGCGACGAUCCCUAGCUGGUCUGAGAGGAUGACCAGCCACACUGGAACUGAGACACGGUCCAGACUCCUACGGGAGGCAGCAGUGGGGAAUAUUGCACAAUGGGCGCAAGCCUGAUGCAGCCAUGCCGCGUGUAUGAAGAAGGCCUUCGGGUUGUAAAGUACUUUCAGCGGGGAGGAAGGGAGUAAAGUUAAUACCUUUGCUCAUUGACGUUACCCGCAGAAGAAGCACCGGCUAACUCCGUG